GGUUGUGGCUCAAUGGUAGAGCACUUGCCUAGCAUGUGUGAGGCACUGGGUUCGAUCCUCAGCACCA
rnacentral:tRNA from 1 species